CAAAUACUCCCUCCGUCCAGAAAUACUGGUCAGAGGAAUGGAUGUAUCUAAAUGUAUUUUAUAGUUCUAGAUACAUUCAUUUUUAUGCAUUUCUUCGACAAGUAUUUCGGGACGGAGGAAGUAGUAA
rfam:Triticum aestivum genome assembly, contig: Triticum_aestivum_CS42_TGACv1_scaffold_227112_3B